rnacentral:rRNA from 1 species
UACGUAGGGUGCGAGCGUUGUCCGGAAUUAUUGGGCGUAAAGAGCUCGUAGGCGGUCUGUCGCGUCGAUCGUGAAAACUUGGGGCUUAACCCUGAGCUUGCGGUCGAUACGGGCAUGACUGGAGUUCGGCAGGGGAGACUGGAAUUCCUGGUGUAGCGGUGAAAUGCGCAGAUAUCAGGAGGAACACCAGUGGCGAAGGCGGCUUUCUGGUCUGUUCUUGACGCUGAGGCGCGAAAGCUAGGGUAGCAAACGGG